UGCCCUCGGCCUUCCGCUGGGGAAGAAGGUGGAGAUACUUUAGCCGAGUAACCGAAGCUCAAGGCCACCCCCUGGCCCCGGGGCGGAUGGGGGGAAGUGUGCCCUUGGGCCGACUUCCCCUCCCCGGCCCUGCCUGGGUCAGCUGGUCUUGUUUUGCAGGCUCCGACCCCUCCCGGUCGGGACGAUGCGGGCCACAGGUCCCCAGACCCCGCUCCACGCCGCCCGAGCGCCGGCCUCAGCCUCCUCCUUCCUCGGCGCGCUCUUGGCCUCCGCCUCCCGGGCCAAUGCCCUGCGGCCUGGCCGCGGCCUCUUCCGCCCUACGCUGGCCCUUCCCUGCGAGCGUGGGCAGGGGGAAAGCCUGCUCUCCCGAAUGAUCCUUCAGAGGCCACGGCCUCCUUCUUAUGAAAAGAAUAUUCACAUCCCCAGGAAGGCCUUGGCGGGAAUACGCCCCUGAAGGGCAGGCAGGCUGCCCGAGAAGCACCAAGGCCCCACUGUGUCGGGUCGGUCCCCUGGGGGCUUUCAGAACCUCUAUCAAGGUUAGGCUCCAGGAAAACAGUGGGCCUUUUCUUCCUUUCAGAACCACCCCACCUGCGGCCCUAACUGACCCUCCUCCCUUCCAGCUUGUUCAGUGGCCUCUACUGUUUGCAGACUCCACAGGAGCAGCCUAUCUCAUUAUUUAUCACAUUAAAAGCAGUACUGGGUGACAGAAGAGAGACAUCCAUCUUCACCUGGGCUCUUCAUUAUGCUUAAUCUACCCAGUGGGGUAGAUCUGUCAAACACACCUCAUUCCCAGGCUGGAGUAAUCCAGAGCCAUCUCUCAACUGAGUGGGUGUAAAUCCCCACAGGUAACUGUGGAACCCCGACUGAAUGGAUAUUGUGUUAAGCUCUGCAGGGACAUCCAGGCAUCCAAUCCAGUCCUGGUGAAACACAGGCCUGUACAUGAGGCUGAAGUGGAGAGUGCUUCUGACAUUUGGCUCAGGUUCUUUCCAUUAACUGUGCUUCAUUCCUCUUCUAACAAGGAAGCCUCAUCUGCAGGAGAAAACUUCUUGUCAAUCCUUAAAAUGGCCACUUUGCUAAGUAAAAGUCUGAUAUAAUCAAGGUUGUGAAUUCCUAGAGAAGAGGGUCUAAAUAUUUAUUCCUCCUUCUUGCCUCACAAUGAAGGAUGAUAUUCGAAAUAGUUAAUAUAUGAGGCUAAGGCGGGAGGAUUACAAGUUGGAAGCCAGCCUCAGCAAAUUUGCAAGAUUCAAUAGGAGUUUGUGAAUAACUCUGAAGAGCUUUGCAAGAAACAGGACACUCCAUACCUAUGUUAUCCAAUAUGGCUGCUUCAAAUUCUUGGACUCAAGGGAUUCUGCUUCAGCCUCCAGAGUAGAUGAAGCUACAGAUGUGCCACUGAGCCCAGCUGAGUCCCCAUCUUUUUUUUUUUCCAGUGAUGGGGAUCCAAUCCAAGAUCCACAGAUGCUAGGCAAGUACUCUCAGAGUUACCCCCUUAGCUCUUUAGUUAUCAUCUUGAAUAGCACAGAUACAGAACAUUUCCAUCAUCAAAGAAAAUUCCACUGGACAUCUCUUUGGCUAAGCAAAAGUAUUGUGUAUUUCACAGGUUUUAAAAAAUUAUAUUUGGAACUGUGAAAUUUGCAGCAAACCCCAGAAUGCACCCUCUGACAUAGCUAAUAAGCCAGUCUUCCUGUUCUGGUGGUUACUCUUACUGGAUAUGCAAAGUAUUUGAUUAAAAGGUAAAAGCAACUUUGUUCCAGAUAAAUUAGUUGAUAGGAGACAAACAGCUCUUGCAGAUGUACAUUGGUGGAGGAAAUAGUUCUGCUUUCUUCAGAGACUACCAGGAAAUAAGCUAGCUAUCAAUGACAUUUUAAAAGGUCUUCAAUGAGAAGUGUGUUAGUUAUUAGUAUUAUCAUUCAAAAAUUUUCUUAAUAAUCAGAAAGCAUCAUCAACUAGACUAUCUGGUUGUAACUCAUUGUUGUUAAUGAACUUGGUAAACAGUACUGCCUCCCUUAAUUAGCCUUUUGGGAGCAAUCAUGUUUUGAAUUGCCUACCUGCAGUCCUGGGAGUCUUGCAAGAAACAGGAAUAGUUUAAUCUCUAGCCGAGAUAUGUGUCAAAAGCUGAUUUCUAUACAUGACUUGGAGAAUCUUAAGUAGAAACUGGCAGACAUGCCAAAUGUGACCAGCUGAAGUGUGUGAAGACUAUAUUAGCAUCAAAGGCAUAAAUCAUAAAGGAAAUGAUUGAUAAACUUGGCACAAAUGUAUUAAAAUGUUAUAUAUCAGAAAGGUAUGAUGGGCUGGGGAUAUGGCUCAAGCCGUAGCGCGCUUGCCUGGCAUGUGUGCGGCCUGGGUUCGAUCCUCAGCUCCACAUACAAACAAAGAUGUUGUGUCCGCCAAGAACUAAAAAAUAAAUAUUAAAGAAAAAAAAAGGUAUGAAAAGCAAAAUAAAGGCAGAUGACUUAAAUUUUUAAAAAAUUCUACAUGAGGCAUAGUUGGCACUGUAUAAAUAAACAUGGCAAAAUGUUUGACUUUAGGACUAAUCAAGAACUGCAGAUUAAAAUAACAGUGACAUACCACUUUUAUCUGUUGGCUUGGCAACAGUAAAAAAUAUAUAUAUAAAACAGUGCUGGAAUUACUGAGGGGAAAUGUGUAAUAUUACACACUUUUGAUGGGAGAAAAAAGUGGGAUAAGCUUUUUGGUGGGCAGGUUGAUAACAUGUAAAAAAAUAACUUUCCCUACCCACCCCCAUUUUUAUAGGACUGGGGAUCAAGCCCAGGUCCUCACACAUGCUACAGAAGGGCUCUACCACUGAGCUAUUACUCCCAGCCCCAUGGCUAAAAUCUUUGACAGAGCAAUUUCAUUUCUAGGAAAUUAUUCCAAGAAAAUGUUACAAAUUCUCAAACUUCUGUGUAUAAUGGCAAUGUAGAUGAUGUGUGUUUUUUGUUUGUUGGAUCCUCUUUCUAGAUGUACACUCCUAACCUUGAUGGUUGGUCCAAAACAGAUGUGGAAGGAAUGUACAUCAGGCCACUCUUUCUUUCACAGGGUUAAGUUGAAAAUGGAAAAAGGAGUUGCUCUUGGCUUUCUGGCUGUAAGGUAGGGAUUCUAGAACUAAGAAAUAAAUGACACGGAAAGACAGAAAGUGUUCUGGUAUAAUUUGAGCUGAUUGAUGUGGUUAACCUGAUGGCCAGUGUACUUUCUUCCUUUCUAUGGUUAUUAUGAAAACCAAUUAAAUCUAUCUUUUUGCUAAACACAGUAUGAUUGUAGACUUCUACUUGUGUCGAAGACAGAAUAACAAUAACCAAAUUUAUCCAGCCACUUGAAAUGACUACAAACAUGGAAAAAUAUUUUUCAAUGUUUCUUUGUUACUGUUGAUGUUGUAUUGUUAUUAUUAGUGCUUGGGAUUGAAUGCAGGGAUUUGUGUAUGCUAUGCAUGCUCCUAUCAUUAAGUUACAUCCCCAGCUCCCAUAUAUAUAUAGAGAGAGGCACACAGUCUAACUAUAAUGUUAUAUAUAUAAAAUAAUGACUUUUAAAAAUGACAUUGGACAUCAGACAAUAACCCCCAAAGAUGGGAAGCAAAUGAGGUAAGCAUUAUGAUUGUCCAGUUUACUGCCUGGAGAGUUUCUAGGUGGUGGCAAAAGGCAGAACUUUAUAGUAGAGUCUGGCAGAUUCCCUGAGAUGAGGAGAUGGAGCUGAGAGUCCAGGGAAACCCAAAUAGCUAAGGUUUACAGGGUAGAAUAACAGGAGAGAUCUGCACAGAGAGAGAAAAAAAGACUAGCAGCAACCAAAUUGAAAGAUCUUCAGAGGGUCCUCAUUGGGUAUUCAGCAGAGUAUUCAAGAACUCAUGAAUGUAUGAUACUACUCCAAGUCAGAGAAAGAACCACCUGAAAAAUCAUGGAAACAAUAGCUACAACUCACGUGGGGCCAGAAGUGGUGGCUGUUUCCACCUGCCAGAUCAGUACUCCUAUCAUUCACAGAGCAUUAGGUAAAAUAUUCAGAAGGGUCUUGCCUCGGUUGUGGGACAAAAUUGGCACUAGACUAAAUGUUGCUCUAUUUCUGUCAAGCAAAUCUUAACCCCACCCCCACAAGAUCAAAUUGAGUUUUUUUUUAAAUAAAGAACUAAUAUAAUUUGUUGUUAUUAUUAUGUUAUUAUUAUUGGUACUAGGAAUUGAAUCCAGGGGUUCUCUACCACUGAACCACAGCCUUUUUUUUAUUUUUAAUUUUGAGACACAGUCUAAGUUGCUGAUGCUGGCCUGUAAUUAGGAAUUCUCUUGCCUCUGCCUCCCAACCUAUCAGGUUGCUAGGGUUAUAGGCAUGCACUACCACACCUGGCUCUAUAAUUUAUUUUUUUAAAACCACCAAGACCCCUUAGUAAAAAUGAAAAGACACAAUUAGGCAAUUAUAAAUAGGAUAUGCAUAUAAGAAAUGGUAUACAAUUUCACAAGUAAAUAAAAGUACAAAUUAAAGAAUCAGGACACAACCUUUCACUUACCAAAUUAGCGAAGUUGUAAAACCUGAAGUUUCCUGCAGAUGUGAAUGGGUUGGGAAGGGGAAUGCUUGGUCAGGUUGGUGGGACAAUUGACUGGUCUGAGAAAAGCAAGAUCUUAGAGGAUCAAACUAUUUCCAAAUAACUAUGUCCCAGAACAAACUCAAGAAUGCCAGUGGAUGUGGGGCUGGGCUUACAGCUCAGUGACAGAGUGCUUGCUUAGCAUGUGUGAGGCACUGGGUUUGAUCCUUAGCAGCACAUAAAAUAAAGGCAUUCUAUCCAUCUACAACUUAAAAAAAAAAAAAAGAAGAAUACCAGUGAGCCAGUAUGGUAGUGCUCACCUAUAAUCCCAGCAACUCUGGAGGCUGAGGCAAAAGGAUCACAAGUUCAAGGCCAGUCUGGACAACUUAGUGAGACCCUGUUUCAAAAUAAAAAAUAUAAAGGACUGGGGAUGUGGCUCAGUGAUAGAGCACCCCUGGGUUCAAUCCUCAAUACUCUUCCCAACCCCACCCUCCAAAAAAUGUAAAAGAGAAAAAAUACUAAGUGGACUACGAAAAUAUCUAGUCCCUUUCAAAAUAAAUUCACAAUGAAUGUUAUUAAAUACAAAAUUACUGAGCACAUAAACAGGAAACUAUGACCUAUAAUGAGGCAAGUAAUUAGUCAAACUCAGAACUGAUGGGGAUAUUAGAUUUAGUAGGCAAGGACAUUAAAAUAGUUAUUAUAAUUCUAUUCUACAGGUUCAAAAUGCUAGAGGAAAGAUUAAAUAGAGACAUGAAAGAAGUUUAUCCAUAUUUUAGUAUUUACUCGUACUGCAUUCUUUUAGUGCCCAAAUAAUAUUCAAUUGUAUGGAUUUACCAUGUUGCAUAUCCAUUCAUUAGUUGAUGGAUUUUGGGGUUGUUUCCGUUUGGGGGCUAUUAAGAAUAAUGUUGCUAUGAGCUUUCAUGUACUGGUUUUUGCAUGGAUAUGUAUGUGUUGUUAUUUCCCUUGGGUAUAUAUCUUGGAGUGGAAUUGCUGGAUCCAGCUAGGCUUGCUGGAACUGGAUGGUAAACCUGUGUUUAACAUUUUGAGGAAGUACCAAACUGUUCUCCAAACCAGCUAUACCACUUUACAUUCCACCAAUAGUGAAUGAGGGCUCUAAUUUCCCCCCAUCCUCACCAAUAUUUGUUAUUAUUACCUUUCCUUUUGAUUAUAGUCAUCCCAGUGGAUGAAUAGUACCUCAUUGUGGUUUUGACUUUGAUUUCACAGAUGGCUAAUGCUAUUUAGCAAUCUUUUCAUGCACUAAUUGGUCUUUGUAUAUUUUUUGUUGGGAAAUGUCUAUUUAUAUCCUUAGCCUAUU